GACGAACGCUGGCGGCGUGCUUAACACAUGCACGUCGAACGGAAAGGCCCUGCUUUUGUGGGGUGCUCGAGUGGCGAACGGGUGAGUAACACGUGAGUAACCUGCCCUUGACUUUGGGAUAACUUCAGGAAACUGGGGCUAAUACCGGAUAGGAGCUCCUGCUGCAUGGUGGGGGUUGGAAAGCUUCGGCGGUUGGGGAUGGACUCGCGGCUUAUCAGCUUGUUGGUGGGGUAGUGGCUUACCAAGGCUUUGACGGGUAGCCGGCCUGAGAGGGUGACCGGCCACAUUGGGACUGAGAUACGGCCCAGACUCCUACGGGAGGCAGCAGUGGGGAAUAUUGCACAAUGGGCGGAAGCCUGAUGCGGCAACGCCGCGUGCGGGAUGACGGCCUUCGGGUUGUAAACCGCUUUCGCCUGUGACGAAGCGUGAGUGACGGUAAUGGGUAAAGAAGCACCGGCUAACUACGUG
rnacentral:rRNA from 1 species